UAGAUGCAUCUGUGAAGACAUGACAAUUGUGUAUGGUAAGCCCUUAACCUGAAUUUAUUCCAAUAACACCUCUCUGUGUUUACAAUUACUGUCUUCAUUUUGAGUCGCGAAGCGUAAGAACUACUGCUAAUAACAUUCUGGCAUUACAAAUGAAAUUCUCUUACCUAACAACUUAGCCGGUCCAUUUUUAGGACAGCUGUUAAUGUUUUCUGCAGGAAACCAAUCAGACCUACAGAGGAAAUAUGUCAUUGUACUCGUUCCUCUCCCCUCUGACCCCCACAAUCAUCAGCGCCCCCUCCAGUCCGGAGAUGUUAGAGGUGAGUCCCGUGCUGCCUUUAGCCCCUCCUGCCACGUCCUGGUACAGCACGGCAUCAUGGGAAGACACAAUAAUCCUGCUCCCUGCUGAUGGGGACAUCUCCUCCCCCCUCCUCUGUUGCUCCGGCGUCGGAGCGGGCGCUCUGAUCCCGCUGCUCCCCGCACCUGUGCUCCCUCCCCCGCCCCCACCUCGCUUUUUAGGCAGCGGCCCCCACAGGAAUGCGUGGGCGGGCCGAUAGUGCUUGCGCGCAUAGCGCAGCAGGCGCCUGCGGGUGGCCGGCAGACGGAUGGUGUAGACGAAGUACUCCAGGACGCUGUGUUGCAUGUUGGGAAGAGUGGUGUGGCUCAGCGACUCCUCCAGGAACAGGUGGACUAGGGGGGCCUUUAACGCUUCGUAGCCCAGCUCGCCCAGCGACUUCAGGAUGCGAGUGAUCCGAAGGUAGUUGUGCUGGGACCUGAAAAACAAAGCAGGAGGAGGUGCUGGAAGCGCUCCUGCCAGUUGGAAGCCCGAGCAACAUUCCCACUCUUAUCCAGCAGUUUGAUGCCGUAGAAGUCUAGCAUGAGGGAAUAUGCUGCCAAGAACCUCCGCUUGGCUUCCCGAGUGCUUUGGAACUCCUGUCAGGAUUAAACACAGCGGAUCAGAGACUAGCACACAGGCACUAGAGGGAUCUUGUUCAAGUAGAAGCGCAGGUUACGGUACUCAUUGGGUUGCCGUGGCUUUCGGUAGUUCUGCAAACGCACACAGAACAAAGCCAGGUGUAACCAAUAAAAAUCCCGGGAACAGCAGCAUCAGGACCAGAGCUGCGUCACGUGACACCAGGACAGGAGGAGGUUACGCUACACACCCCCAUAACAUUAAUAACGUCCCUUCAGGAAAAAAAAGAAAUGCUGUGAAGGUUGUUCUUAAGGACAAUACAGGCUUUGUUUUUAUUUUACAGUUUUGUUGUUUAAACUAAACAAAAUACACAUUUGAACAUUUCGCUUGUGUCUCAAUUCACUUAUAAAAUACAUUAUAAAUUGAGGAAAUGUGUAAAGAUACUACUAUGAUCACAUUGGCAUAGGUUCUUUUAAUGAAAUAGUUCUUAUUGAGAGAUAGAUCAAAGAUAAAUACAUUAACAUUACAUAGUAGUUACUAGUUAUUUUCAGGUCAAGGUGUAACAUUAUAAUCAUGUGAUCCAUGUAUAAGAUUGGGUACACCACAUUAUUGAGGGUUAAACCAGUAUUUCCUUUUUAGAGACGAAUUUCAAAUGUCUAAUGCUUUUUAGCAGUUUCAUCAAAAAGUGAUUUUUCCCUCUUAGCGUCUCAUAUCGUUUUGUUUGAAAGUGUCAGAACAGGUACAAAUUAAUCAAUAUUUCCAAAAAAAGAAGAACAAUUAGAAGGAAAAUAUAUUGUGUUUCAGGGGUUUGUUUUUAAUCAUAUUAUAUAUUAUUUUGUUUUAUAUACUGCAUGUAAUAGUGUAUCCCCCAAAAUAUUAUUUUAGCCUAAUACUUUAAAUCUUAAAGGUUAUCAGGUCUCAUGGGAGUCUGAGAUCCAAGAAUGUAUUUGAGAAAUUACUAUUUCCCAUAUGCAAUAACAAUAAA